UACGGCUACAUCACAUUGAAACUGCGAUUCGCGUACAAUCAAUGAAGUUAAGCAACGUCGAACCUGGUUAGUACCUAGAUAGGUGACUGCUUGGGAAUACCAGGUGUUGUAAG